GAUGAACGCUGGCGGCGUGCCUAAUACAUGCAAGUCGAGCGAACGGACGAGAAGCUUGCUUCUCUGAUGUUAGCGGCGGACGGGUGAGUAACACGUGGAUAACCUACCUAUAAGACUGGGAUAACUUCGGGAAACCGGAGCUAAUACCGGAUAAUAUUUUGAACCGCAUGGUUCAAAAGUGAAAGACGGUCUUGCUGUCACUUAUAGAUGGAUCCGCGCUGCAUUAGCUAGUUGGUAAGGUAACGGCUUACCAAGGCAACGAUGCAUAGCCGACCUGAGAGGGUGAUAGGCCACACUGGAACUGAGACAUGGUCCAGACUCCUACGGGAGGCAGCAGUAGGGAAUCUUCCGCAAUGGGCGAAAGCCUGACGGAGCAACGCCGCGUGAGUGAUGAAGGUCUUCGGAUCGUAAAACUCUGUUAUUAGGGAAGAACAUAUGUGUAAGUAACUGUGCACAUCUUGACGGUACCUAAUCAGAAAGCCACGGCUAACUACGUG
rnacentral:rRNA from 1 species